AUUCUGGCAUGGUAUUUAAACAACUCUAAUUAUAUUCAUACUUCAUAUUUGUAAUGGCAUGGACAAUGUCUCAGAGACUAGAAAUGGUCAUUUUGGGUAAAAUCACUGUUUUGGAAAUACAAUGAAUUUGUUAUCACUGCAAAAUCAUUGGAGGGUUUUAUUCAAGUUGUCCUUUUUCAGAGAUUGGAAAUGCUCAAUAUCAAAUAUUUAUUAUUUACUUGGAACAGUUUCCACUAGACAGGCCAUACAAAACAGGGAUGUUUCUAGGCCUGCCAGCCUGCCUUUGGGAUGGCCAGUAUUAACAGCCUGUGCCCUUAAGUAUCCAGUGACAUAGGAUAAGUUCCACUGGUAAAGUUCACAAGAGGUAGAUUAUGUUCUCUAGGGAUGAGAAGUGAAAGUCAAGCAUGUUUCCCUGGAAGCAGAGAGCUCCCCAGUGGACAUUUCCAUUCCUACAGGCAGCCCCCCAUCCAGUUCCAUUCUGUUCCAGAACAGCUCCAGGCCUAGAAAGGCAAGUGAACCUUCAGAUCAUGCUGGGCUCAUGGAACAGCCCAGAAGCCCUCCAUCAGCCUGCAGUCCGGAGUUCAGGGAACGUCUUAGGCCAAGCCACUCUCAAGAAGCGGAGGUAAAAAGACUCACGGCUCAGUUCAUUCACCAUCAGCCCACAGCAUGGAAGGAAAAUGCCACUCCCCCUUUCAAACCACCCUUUUGCAACUAUAGGCAUUCUCAAAUCCUUCUUCAUUAUCACAGUAAAUUCAUGUUAAUGCAGACAUUAUUCUUAAAGGAUAACAAGGAGUCCACAGUGUAAUUUACCCUAAGCUCAGCAUUGCUUCAGGGCUGGUCUUGGGACAGGUGCCUCCCCAGGCCAGUCCUGUGUGACAUUACAUGAUUAGGACAAAAUUAGACAUGUGCAAGGAAAGCACAGCCACCAAAGGGCUCUGGGGCAGGUGUCAGUGCCCCAGGCGGGGAGAGGCUGUGUAAUUAUGGAAGGAUAAUACCCACCCCAGGGACUACUUCAUUUCCCAUCCCUAAGGAACUCUUCACCAAUCAGAAAAGAGAAUUCUUUAACAACAGCUCUCCACCCCCUGGCCAGGAACCACUCAUAGCUUCUCAGAACAUGUUUCUGGGCAGGUGGGAGCAAAGCCAGAAAGGAAAACGAACCCCGGGCAGAACCAGAGACACAAGAGCUCUGUGGCCCUGACCCUGGUAGAUAAUCCACCAGGCUCUCAAGCUAGGACCAUUUCACUGCAAGCCAAGGACCUGGUUUGCUGCAUGUUGUCCUGCCUUGCAGGCUGGCAAGAAGCUGAGCCUCUGGGCUUUGCCCACUGAUAUGGAACUGGCUCUGGGAGAUCACCCCAGCGAUGACAGAUGCACAGGGUGGCCAUCUGGAAGUGCCCCUGUCCUCAGGGAUGCUUCAAACAAAGGUUAAUGUGUCAAGAGGGAUUCAUAAAGUCGGAGACCUCCAUGGGGCUUUGAGAACAUCUCUACAUCUCCAGAUGAGCCACCUAAACUGAUCUGAAAGAACUAUGCUCAUCACUUCCUACCAUGCCCCUGAUCGGCUUCUAUGAAGAAAACCUGUUGUCAAAUCUCUGCGGCCCACUCAGUGUCCUCUGAUGCUGGCUAAAGGGAGCCCUAAUCAUUUGCAUUUGCUCAAGAAUCAAAUUGCUCAAGGCCCAGAUGGACCCCCCAGGACUCUUCUCCUGUGCAUUCUCCAGCUUCUCCAUCCCAGACAGAAAGCCUGUUCCUUCCAACAGACAUCUCCGGUAAAGCCCUGAGAUUACCUCGCUCACCCACAAGCAACGUGCUCCUAUUUAUAAACUCAAGACUCAGCUUGGUACUACCCUGGAGUGCUGAUUCACGGUGUUAUGACCAAAUUGUAUUUUGCCUUUACUGUAAAUAAGUACAAAGAAAAAAGUUUGUACUGUCUGUUUCCUAAUCUCUUUCGGCUCUUCACCAAGAGAAAACUUUCCUUCUAUAAAUGGAUCCCAGACUGAUCAUGGAUCUUUUCAGGAAUAUGAGUGUGGAGAAGAAACGAGAUUGAUUUUAAUAGUGUGCAAAUUUAAAAUGAGAUAAGUAUAGCUAAUGUCCUAAAGCCCUCAUUUAGAAAAUGGCCUUUAGCUUUGAAUAGAACUUGCCUUUCUAAUGAUAAAAUAAUAAGAAUAGUAUUUAUUGAACACUCACCACAUGCCAGGCACUGUGCUAAGCAUUUUGCUUCUGCUUAUUUAAUUAUUCAUAGUAACUCUAUAAGAUAGGUACCAUGAUUGCCCCAUUUUUACAGAGGAGAAAACUGAGAAACUGAAUCUCCUUGUAGCAACACGAAUGGAUCUUAAAAACAUAAUGCUGGCUGGGCGUGGUGGCUCACGCCUGUGAUCCCAGCACUUUGGGAGUCCGAGGCGGGCAGAUCAGGACGUCAGGAGUUUGAGACCAGCCUGGCCAACAGAAUGAGAGCCCACCUCUACUAAAAAUACAAAAAAUUAGCUGGGCAUGGUGGCGGGAGCCUGUAAUCCCAGCUACUCAGGAGGCUGAGGCAGGAGAAUCGCUUGAACCUGGGAGGUGGAGGUUGCAGGGAGCCAAGAUCAUGCCAUUGCACUCCAGCCUGGGUGACAGUGUGAGACUCCAUCCCAAAAAACAAACAAAAACCCCAAAAACAUAAUGCUUAGUUUUUUAAAAAGUAAGAAGCAGAAUGAAAAAUACCACAUAGUACCAUUUAUAAAAUUAAAAGACAUGUAUAUAACACAAUACGUAUUUUAUAAGAAUACAAACAGAACAUCAAACAUGUUAGAGUGGCAAUCUAUGGGGAGGAGAACAAGAGUGGGAAAUGAGGAUAACGGGAAAUAAAUAGAUAACAAGAGAGGCUUGCACACAGCAAUGAGAACUAUAUGCCAUGAACUGAACAGCAUCAUACCUCCACCCUCUGCACAGAGGUCCAACUACAAAAACAAUGACCCCAAAUCUUAGAGCAGGGAGAUUGUAAUGGACUGCUCCAGUUACAGAGCCAGGGCCUGGACUUGAACCCAGGUGUCUUGCACCUGCCCCAGAGCAGCACGGAUGUAACUAGUCAGUGAAUUUUCAAUUCCUGAAAAGAUAUCUGCCACAUAGCUAACUCUCUUUAGGCUUCCACACUUUAAAGGCCUCCGGUAAUGACAUACUUUAUAUUUGAUCUUGAGGGACAAGUAGAUUUGCUCUAUUUAUUAUACGGCAAGCUCAAAUAUGAGCUAAACAACCGGCCACUCAUCUCUUCAUUCAGCAAGAUUUUUUUUUUUUUUUUUUUUCAGUGUUGAUUAUGUGCCAGGCAUUGGGCCAGGCAGAGGGCAAGUGGAGAUGAAUGAGCUCAAACUCUUGGCCUCCAUGAGCUCCCAGCCACUGAGCCAUUCUCUAACUACAGCUAGGCAGAUCUUUCUCCUCCUUAUGGCCACUUCGCAGCACUGCUGUAAGAGCAGAGAAGUGCAGCUCAAACCUGCCUAUGACUGUCUAAAGCACCGAUGAGCAUUUCCUAAGACAGUUUGGAUUUCCACCAGGAAAGUUUGCUGUAAUAGCAACAACACUGAUUUCCAUGAUGGGGGAUUUAAUUUUCUUGUAGCUAAUCUUUCAAAAGGAAGAAAGAACAACACAUACAGCAACAGCCCUAGUAAUUGUGGUAACAUCUGCCUCAGUGACUCAUGUGAUAAUGUCUCUUUCUGUGCAGGAGGUGAAUAUUUCAGAGACAUAUCAGGAAGGAGGCCAUUCUAGAAGCAAAGAAUGAAAGGUCAGAAUAGGGAUGUCUAGUGUGGCACUAAGGAAGUCAUAAACCCCCAGGCAUUGCAGGCUUGGUUGAGACGCUGUGGGAGUCACCUGACUCACCUCGAUAGUUUUGCAGGUGUCUUCCAGCUGGCUGAUCACUCCCUGGACUCGAUCGUUGCUGCCCACGAGGAUGGCGAUGCCAUCACUGAGCUCAGACUAAUGAAGAGAAAACAUGAACCCAAUAUCUUAGGGGUUUCCUAGCCACCCCGACUGUGAAUUGGUCAUAAUAUUGUCUUUACAGGUUCUUAAUUUAGGAUCCAUGCAACCCCUAAGGACUAACAGGGAGGCCUGUGGACCUUCUGAUAUUGCAAGCAAACCUUUGUGUAUGAAUCCAUUUGUGCAGGGAAAGGUUUCACAGUUUUCAUCAGUCUUAAUAUUAAGAUCAACAUGUUCAAGCUAAAGAAUUCUAAGUAUUGUUUAUAAAUAGCAUGGAGACCAAUAUGUGACUUCAGGGACCCAAAUGGAAUUAUUUGCCUAGUGGAACUAAGGGUCAAUUUUACUUGGGAAAUGUGUAUAGUAAAUACUCAUUUAUUCAACAAAUACUUAUUAUGGGCAUAAGAAUAUAGUGUAUACAGACACAAACACUCACACAUUAGACUAAGUCAUUACAAACUUCACACUGAAACAAAGAACUAGUUCUAGGGGAGAAAUGUCAACUUUUAAAUUCCUUUGCUCUUUUGACUUAGGAAGAGAUUCUAUUGUUCCUAUUUACCCCCUUCCCAAGACUGGCUGAUGGAGCCACCAGGAGCACUGGAGGGGCACUUGGGAGACCCAUGCGCUUGGUCCAACUCUACCCCCAACUUCUCUGUGAUGUUGGGCAAAACAUAUAUUCAAUUUUGACCCUAAUUUUCUCACAUUUAGAAGGAGAAGAUUGGACCAGAACAGUGAUUAUAAAAUAUUUUAAAGCUGCAGAACCUUCUUCAAGUGAAAGCUAAUAUGGAGGUGAAGCUGCUUUGGCCAAACAGGAGCAAGGGUGAGGGUCCCACCAGUCUGUUCUUCUGUCCAUCUCACAUGAGUCUCCAGGCUCUGAAGGAAGGAGUGUGAAACAGCUACCAUCCAGUUCUAUUAUGCUAUGCUUUGGGGGAGGUGGGCAGAAGAGAAGGGGGAAUAAAUUGUAACUGGAUUCAAAAAUAAACAAAUGUU
rnacentral:lncRNA from 1 species